UGUGGAUACAACUAACACACCAUGGUAGGGCCCACAGAACUUGGUGACAUCACUUCAAACCUACUGUUGAAGCCGUCAGUAGUUAAUCCGCGUCAGUGGGUUUGGCGGUUGAGCAUCUCUCUCCGUCUCGCUUCCCCCUCUCUCGUUAUAAAUAAUCCCUUCAAAUGAAUUAGGGCAAUCUCCCUCCCUCUCCCUCGCUCUCUUUGCGAGAGAAAAAGAAGAAGAGAUUUUUCGUUUUGGUCGGCAUUGGUGAAAAAUGCAACAGAUUCUAUGAAGGAAUCCCGCAUUCAUGAUUUUCUUGCUUCGUUGAAUGCUCUUCAAUAUAGAAAGAUGGACUUUCACAGCAGCAACUUUAUGGUCAGAAGCUAACAAACACGUCUACACAAAUGAGAGAGAGAGGAUCCAUUCCAGUGUAAAGAAGAAUCAUCAACGCCUGAUGAAAGGGCGCCGUUCUUUGAAGUGGACAUGGUCCUUGAUGUUGUCUCCUUCCAACUUGAGGCUGGCCCACCACACCAAAUUGCAUUCCACCUUUAGAGAACCCCCACCAACAGUGGUGUUAGAAGCAGCAGCAUUAUCACAGGGAACUUGAAGAGGAAGAUUAUUCAGCUUCGAACAUCCACUCACUCUCAGUUUCUCCAAUGCCGGCAAGCACACCUCACCACAAAUACUCUCCAUCUUAGGUAGCUCCCACAGACACACUGUACGUAGUCAUUGGAGUGAGCCUUUAGCUACCCCUCGAAACACCGCCUCCAGUCUAUUGCAGAAUUUGAUAUGGAAAGUUUCCAGGCUUUCUAAGCAUACGGCUGAGGAGAAGACGACCACGAGUCUCGGGCAAUAGUCCAGAUAUAUGUGCAAUUCUCAAAAAAACACAACCAAGGAAAAAUUCUUUUA